UCGAUUCCGGAGAGGGAGCCUGAGAGACGGCUACCACUUCUAAGGAAGGCAGCAGGCGCGCAAAUUACCCAAUCCCGAUGCGGGGAGGUAGUGACAAUAAAUAACAAUGCUUGGCUUUAACGAGUUGAGCAAUUGGAAUGAGAACAAUGUAAACACCUUAACGAGGAACAAUUGGAGGGCAAGUCUGGUGCCAGCAGCCGCGGUAAUUCCAGCUCCAAUAGCGUAUGCUAAAGUUGUUGCAGUUAAAAAGCUCGUAGUCGGAUCUUCGGAUGAGGGUUGAAUUAAGUAGUUUAAAGUAAUUUAAAUGAAAAUUUAAUCGCCUGAAAAGGUUUAAAGAAGGGUCAAACUACGUUUGAACCCGCUUUACUCAUCCUUAUCGGUUAUAAAAAGGGAGGUUUGAAAGAACUAAACCCGGUUUAUAGCUAUUUAAUAGUUCCAGAAGAGUGAUCAGCACUGCCAUUGAAUUGGUUUGUGAUUUGAUUCACAUCUCUGGAUCGUUUACUUUGAAGAAAUUAGAGUGUUUAAAGCAGGCGCACUUAGCAAGAAUGUGAUGUCACAGUUACAUUCAGCCUUGAAUACAUUAGCAUGGGAUAAUAGAAUAGGAUCUGUCUCUUAUUCUGCCGGUUCACGAGGGAAAGAUAAUGAUCGAGAGGGGUAAUUGGGGGCAUUCAUAUUUAGUAGUCAGAGGUGAAAUUCUUGGAUUUACGAAAGAUGAACUUGUGCGAAAGCAUUUGCCAAGGGUGCUUUCUUUGAUCAAGAACGAAAGUUAGGGGAUCAAAGACGAUCAGAUACCGUC
rnacentral:rRNA from 1 species